rnacentral:rRNA from 1 species
AGCGCAGGCGGGAAGACAAGUUGGAAGUGAAAACCAUGGGCUCAACCCAUGAAUUGCUUUCAAAACUGUUUUUCUUGAGUAGUGCAGAGGUAGAUGGAAUUCCCGGUGUAGCGGUGGAAUGCGUAGAUAUCGGGAGGAACACCAGUGGCGAAGGCGGCCUACUGGGCACCAACUGACGCUGAGGCUCGAAAGUGUGGGUAGCAAACAG